rnacentral:rRNA from 1 species
CAGCCGCCGCGGUAAUACGAACCGUGCGAACGUUAUUCGGAAUCACUGGGCUUAAAGCGCGUGUAGGCGGAUAGGGACGUCGGUUGUUGAAAGCCCCCGGCUCAACCGGGGAACUGGCACCGAAACGCCCUGUCUCGAGGGACGCAGGGGGACCUGGAACUUCCGGUGGAGCGGUGAAAUGCGUUGAGAUCGGAAGGAACGCCCGUGGCGAAAGCGAGGUCCUGGACGUCUACUGACGCUGAGACGCGAAAGCUAGGGGAGCGAACGGGAUUAGAUACCCCUGUAGUCCCUGUCUCUUUAC